rnacentral:misc_RNA from 1 species
GCCCUUCCGGUCGCUAGAAAUUGGCCGGAACUCCAUAUCUGAUCAGAGGUCGGAUUUCGGCCUGAAUAUCAACCCGCUCAAAUUUCAGAUUUUCUCGGCCAUCUGAUCCUCCCCAGCCCUUCUCCAGUGGCUAAUCUGCCUAUCUUUAUUGUUAGAACUACUGUUUGACUUCCCAGCUACAAAAAUCCAUUGGGUCAGAUCAAGUAAUUUGUUGGAUUCUAUUUUUUGGAUGAAAAUUAUUCCUAAAUUGCUGAAAUUUCAGUU